GGGCCCAUAGCUCAGUUGGUUAGAGCAGCGGACUCAUAAUCCGUCGGUCCCUGGUUCGAGUCCGGGUGGGCCCA
rnacentral:tRNA from 1 species